UACAACCCUGCCCUUCAGAGGGGGAUAACAACGGGAAACCGUUGCUAAUACCGCGUACGAUUCACAGGCGGCAUCGCUUGUGAAUGAAAGGUGGCCUCUAUGUAUAAGCUAUCGCUGAAGGAGGGGAUUGCGUCUGAUUAGCUAGUUGGAGGGGUAACGGCCCACCAAGGCAAUGAUCAGUAGCCGGUCUGAGAGGAUGAACGGCCACAUUGGGACUGAGACACGGCCCAA
rnacentral:rRNA from 1 species